rnacentral:rRNA from 1 species
CCUACGGGAGGCAGCAGUGAGGAAUAUUGGUCAAUGGACGAAAGUCUGAACCAGCCAAGUAGCGUGAAGGAUGACUGCCCUAUGGGUUGUAAACUUCUUUUAUAAAGGAAUAAAACGAGGCACGUGUGCCUUUUUGCAUGUACUUUAUGAAUAAGGAUCGGCUAACUCCGUGCCAGCAGCCGCGGUAAUACGGAGGGUCCGAGCGUUAUCCGGAUUUAUUGGGUUUAAAGGGAGCGUAGAUGGGCUGUUAAGUCAGUUGUGAAAGUUUGCGGCUCAACCGUAAGAUUGCCAUUGAUACUGGCAGUGUUGAGUACAGUUGAGGUAGGCGGAAUUCGUGGUGUAGCGGUGAAAUGCUUUGAUAACACCAAGAAACCCGAUUGCGAAGGCAGCUUACUAACCUGUGACUGACAUUGAUGCUCGAAAGUGUCGGUAUCCAACCGGAUUAGAUACCCCUGUAGUC